rnacentral:rRNA from 1 species
UACGAAGGGGGCUAGCGUUGUUCGGAAUCACUGGGCGUAAAGCGCACGUAGGCGGAUUUUUAAGUCAGGGGUGAAAUCCCGAGGCUCAACCUCGGAACUGCCUUUGAUACUGGAGAUCUUGAGUCCGGAAGAGGUAAGUGGAACUGCGAGUGUAGAGGUGAAAUUCGUAGAUAUUCGCAAGAACACCAGUGGCGAAGGCGGCUUACUGGUCCGGAACUGACGCUGAGGCACGAAAAGCCGUGGGGAGCAAACAGGG